UCACCUCUUAUGUAGGUCACCAAUGGAUUAGUAGAGUGGGAAUGAUUUGUUAUACUGGAGUGUUUUGUAUGCAAUUGCCAAUUUGAAAUGCCAGUUAAGGCUUAAGAACACAGCCAGAGAGAGCUUACUUUGAAUGGUGUUUGAAGAAUUUGAUGUUUUGUUUUUAUACUUCUGUUAGGACAAUGUGUUUGAUAGUCACAUGGAAGAAAAUAGAGAAUAUUUGACUGCUGUGCUUUCUUUACACUGAAUCGAACUGAGGAAAUGCAGUCCUAUUAACCUGAUUUUGUUUCUUAUGAAAUAAAAGAAAUAG